rnacentral:rRNA from 1 species
UACGGAGGGUGCAAGCGUUAUCCGGAUUCACUGGGUUUAAAGGGUGCGUAGGCGGGCAGGUAAGUCAGUGGUGAAAUCUCCGGGCUUAACCCGGAAACUGCCAUGGAUACUAUGUGUCUUGAAUGUUGUGGAGGUGAGCGGAAUAUGUCAUGUAGCGGUGAAAUGCUUAGAUAUGACAUAGAACACCAAUUGCGAAGGCAGCUCACUACACAAAUAUUGACGCUGAGGCACGAAAGCGUGGGGAUCAAACAGG